UCCUCCCUGCCAUGAUGGGGGUUGAGGGGAGUGACCAUACAGGUGCAUGGUAUUUAAUUUGUGGCUGGGAUUAAACCAUAAAAACAACUGGUUUCAUCUGCAUUGGGAUACACAGGAGAAUCCUGAUAUAUGGUUCUUGAGACCCUUCCUAGCUCCUCUGCUUAAAGCAUUUGUUCUGAAAGCUAUGUACCUGCCACUGCUCCACUCAUCUCUAAUGGAUAACUUGAUGUCUGACCUAACAGCUUAUUUAAAUGUUUAUUGUGCUGGGUCUGGAGAGCACCUUGUGAGCACAAAGGUAGGUAUGUCUUGGAUUAUUUCUCUGAUUAGUGAUUGGAUCUAAGGCUCUGAUGGAUAAACUCUGGAGGACCCAGUUACAGAAGCUUCCUUUUGUGCAGCUGUACACCCUGCUUUAUGCUUCAUACCUUGUUUCCUGUGUGCAGCAGCAGAAGUGCUGGUGUCUGUAUCUACCUAGCUCCAUUUCCUGUUAGUGCAGUGCAGAACCCACCCCACGUUUGCCUAGUGGAUGGUGAGUUUUGCAGCUCUUAAGGCAUGAGCACAGUCAUUUGCACCUUCUGUUCUCUCUCCUCAGAGACUGAGAACCACUGGGCUCAACAGGGACUGUGUAGAUGUGUGAGGAUAUGAAGAGUGACAGGCAGGUGUAAAGUGCUGGUACCUGGAGCUGACAGAGUUGCUUUGUUUUGGGUCACAUCAUCCUUGUGGUUUUCAACAUAUUCAGGAGUGCUUGAUUUGAGACUUAUGCAUGAUUGCAUGUACCUGUCUGAUUUACAAGCAACAGUAAAGUAUUGCCAGUGGUUCACAGCAGCCAAAAGAGAUAAUGCAACAUUCUUGUUGAUGUAGUACUGGCAGAAGAGGAUGAAGAAGAAAAUAGAGAAAAAACUAAUAAAAAGGAAGGAAAUGAAAAGAAAGGCAUCUCAUUGAUCCUGAUGUUUUUGGAAAGCCCAUUUACAUGGAGCUGCCAGAGGAGCUGUGUCAGCUGGCAGACAUGGAGAAACUAAGAAGGGAGAAAGCAAUAGAAGACUACAGAAUGAAUGAGGAUGGUCUUUUGAUCAAACCAGCCAUGGAAUUUAAUAGAGAGAAACAAUUCACAGAAGAAUAGAAACUACAGAGGUGAUGGGGAUUGCUUUCCCACAAAGAAAAAAAAGCAGGGUCUCAAAUCACAUCCUGCAACAAUCAAGGAUGUACUUUGUCAAAGCAGAGCUUGAAAAUCAAAUUCGUGUGGUAAAAUCUGCGAGAGGACCUUAAACUGACCUCAAACAGACUGUAUGAAUUUAAUUUCUGACACGGGUGAUUUGAUGAGCUUAGAUUGGGUGUUUGGAAUCAUCCAAGGGAAAAAAGGGGCUAUUCUCCUUUUUUGGUCAAACAAAAGCUCCUGACUUUAGAGUGACAGGUAAUUCAACAUUCCAUUGUUGAAUGGAAAUGAUGGUCUGUCUUUUGGAGGAAAUUCCUGCUGUGUCUGACUGUUCUUCUCUAGGUCUGUUUUUGAGAUCCAUUUUUCCAAGAGCUAUUUUUGAUUUUAAAAGAGUGGCUUUUAUUUUUCUAACGUUGUUAACAGACCACUUUCUUAAACUGUAUUGAUUCUUUUGUUACUUGUUGCAAGUAUGUAAAAUUCUCAUUAGAGCAGCUUCCUGCUGGAAGUUGCAGACCACCCUUGUUUGCCAGCACUGCUGCAUCCAACUCAUGAGGAUAAGGCUAUAACACCACUGUGCUGUCUGGUGUGUGUAAAAAGCUGUUUAGGAGGUGUAGAGCAGCCCCUCCCAAAGCAAAAUAAGGUACUAAGACAAAACUGCUGCUCUACCACAGGACAAAAGUAAUGUAGGUCAGGCCUCAGUCUCAGAACAAAUUUUCUGAUAUAUCAGUGAACACCGAUGAAUGUAGAAUAGGGAAGUAUGGAAAAAGUCAAAGGUUACUGUGCCAACGAGGUUGCAGUCCAAGAACAAUCUGGGCAUCAGGCUGCAAAGGUGGGAAUAAUGACACCAGCUUGGAAGGGAUGUGACAUCUGCAUGUGAAUACAUGCCACUACCUGUUUGAGUUGUUUUGCUUUUGAUGUAAAUUGGUGUGACUAUGUUUAUGAUGUAUCUGCACAUUUAAAAAAUAUAUUUUUAGGUGAAACAUGUUGGUUUUCUGGUGUGUUGGGUUUUUUUACCUCUCCCCACAAAGUACUAGAUUGGAAGUAUUCAAAUAAGUCUUUAUUUGAAACUGUA